rnacentral:rRNA from 1 species
CUACCGGGGUAUCUAAUCCUGUUUGCUACCCACGCUUUCGCGCCUCAGCGUCAGGUGAUGACCAGCUUGCUGCCUUCGCCAUGGGUGUUCCUCCUGAUAUCAACGCAUUUCACCGCUACACCAGGAAUUCCACAAGCCUCUUCAUCCCUCCAGCUCGCCAGUAUGCAGAGCAGUUUCUGGGGUGAGCCCAGAGAUUUCACUCUACACUUAACGAGCCGCCUACGCGCUCUUUACGCCCAGUAAAUCCGGACAACGCUUGGACCCUACGUCUUACCGCGGCUGCUGGCAC